rnacentral:rRNA from 1 species
UCCUACGGGAGGCAGCAGUAGGGAAUCUUCCGCAAUGGACGAAAGUCUGACGGAGCAACGCCGCGUGAGUGAUGAAGGCUUUCGGGUCGUAAAACUCUGUUGUUAGGGAAGAACAAGUGCUAGUUGAAUAAGCUGGCACCUUGACGGUACCUAACCAGAAAGCCACGGCUAACUACGUGCCAGCAGCCGCGGUAAUACGUAGGUGGCAAGCGUUAUCCGGAAUUAUUGGGCGUAAAGCGCGCGCAGGUGGUUUCUUAAGUCUGAUGUGAAAGCCCACGGCUCAACCGUGGAGGGUCAUUGGAAACUGGGAGACUUGAGUGCAGAAGAGGAAAGUGGAAUUCCAUGUGUAGCGGUGAAAUGCGUAGAGAUAUGGAGGAACACCAGUGGUGAAGGCGACUUUCUGGUCUGUAACUGACACUGAGGCGCGAAAGCGUGGGGAGCAAACAGGAUUAGAUACCCUGGUAGUCCACGCCGUAAACGAUGAGUGCUAAGUGUUAGAGGGUUUCCGCCCUUUAGUGCUGAAGUUAACGCAUUAAGCACUCCGCCUGGGGAGUACGGCCGCAAGGCUGAAACUCAAAUGAAUUGACGGA